rnacentral:tRNA from 1 species
GGAGUUGUGGCUCAGUGGUAGAGCACUUGCCUAGCAUGCAUGCGUUCGAUCCUCAGCACCA